CUGGCCCUGAAUCAAGGCCAGCCGCUUUCUGACACUGUUGGUUUCAAGGAGGAGCCUAAAGAGAUGUCUUUCUAUGGUCGGUUGGCCAUUUCAGAACUUGGGCAGUGCAAUGUUCAUUUCAUUAGAAAGAAACAGUU
ensembl:snoRNA